rnacentral:rRNA from 1 species
GAUGAACGCUGGCGGCGUGCCUAAUACAUGCAAGUCGAGCGAACAGACGAGGAGCUUGCUCCUUCGACGUUAGCGGCGGACGGGUGAGUAACACGUAGGUAACCUACCUAUAAGACUGGGAUAACUUCGGGAAACCGGAGCUAAUACCGGAUAAUAUUUCGAACCGCAUGGUUCGAUAGUGAAAGAUGGCUUUGCUAUCACUUAUAGAUGGACCUGCGCCGUAUUAGCUAGUUGGUAAGGUAACGGCUUACCAAGGCAACGAUACGUAGCCGACCUGAGAGGGUGAUCGGCCACACUGGAACUGAGACACGGUCCAGACUCCUACGGGAGGCAGCAGUAGGGAAUCUUCCGCAAUGGGCGAAAGCCUGACGGAGCAACGCCGCGUGAGUGAUGAAGGUCUUCGGAUCGUAAAACUCUGUUAUUAGGGAAGAACAAACGUGUAAGUAACUGUGCACGUCUUGACGGUUCCUAAUCAGAAAGCCACGACUAACUACGUG